UACGUAGGGUGCAAGCGUUGUCCGGAAUUAUUGGGCGUAAAGAGCUCGUAGGCGGUUUGUUGCGUCGGCUGUGAAAUCCCGAGGCUCAACCUCGGGUCUGCAGUCGAUACGAGCAAACUAGAGUGUUGCAGGGGAGACUGGAAUUCCCGGUGUAGCGGUGAAAUGCGCAGAUAUCAGGAGGAACACCGGUGGCGAAGGCGGGUCUCUGGGCAACAACUGACGCUGAGGAGCGAAAGCGUGGGGAGCGAACAGG
rnacentral:rRNA from 1 species